rnacentral:rRNA from 1 species
AUGGCGCACUUCCAGGAGGUGGACUACUGCUCGGAGGAGGUGAGGGCGGUGGGCAACCCGGCCCGCCGCGGCUGCGGCGGCGUGCAGGAGCACAUCGUCAGGGAGACGUUCGUGCAGGAGUUCGACACCGCCGGCCGCCGCCACGGCCACCACGGCCGCGGCUCCGGCCACUUCGAGGUGCGCGAGAGCAGGCUCGAGGAGGACGUCAACACCCGCACCGGCGAGUUCCACGAGCGCAAGGAGAACUUCGUCGUCAGGGCCGAUGACUGA